rnacentral:rRNA from 1 species
GCAGCAGCCGCGGUAAUACGAAGGGGGCUAGCGUUGUUCGGAAUUACUGGGCGUAAAGCGCACGUAGGCGGAUUUUUAAGUCAGGGGUGAAAUCCCGAGGCUCAACCUCGGAACUGUCUUUGAUACUGGAGAUCUUGAGUUCGGAAGAGGUUGGUGGAACAGCUAGUGUAGAGGUGAAAUUCGUAGAUAUUAGCUAGAACACCAGUGGCGAAGGCGGCCAACUGGUCCGAUACUGACGCUGAGGUGCGAAAGCGUGGGGAGCAAACAGGAUUAGAUACCCCCGUAGUCCCUGUCUCUUAUAA